ensembl:lncRNA
UAUAUAUAUAUAUAUAUAUAUAAGAGAGAGAAGUUUUUUAAAUGGAUAAAGGUUUUUGGUCUGUUGGUGGAAACUAACUCUUGCUUUGCGUGCAUUCUGCCUCGUUCAUAAGCUGCUUUGAAAAAAAUAAAUAAAUGUGAAGUUAUUAUAAACCCUGUACUUACCUCUGGAGCUCAAACAUCCAAAACAGCAAGUUUAGCAAACGUAGCUAAUCUGGUUGUGCUAAAGUUUAAAAAUGUUUCAGCUUGUGAUAAUGAAGGAGCUGAUGUCUCGGUGUUUUACUAUAAACGACAUUUUGUCACGUUCCUUUUGUCCUAAGGGUGUGCAAACUUUUGUACUCAGCUGUACAUGUAGAAACUACAAUUGGACUUUAUUUAUUUUCUUUCUCACAGUUCCUGUACACUGCGAUCUCAACCUUGGCUCGGUGCUCACAGAACUCAAACAUGUAGAACCUAAUCAUAUUUUGUUUAUGUAUUUAUUUUUUUGAAUAUCUUUUAAAACCUUUCUCCCACUUUCUGAAAAAAACAAAAAAAAAACAACAUUGGUCAUAAAGUCUUAACGUCAGAGUCUAUUUUUUGUUCCGUUUUAAGUGUUUAAGAAGUCGAGUCUUCAAAAGAUUGCUAAGGUUAUGGAUUAUUACGGAUAAAGCAGAUUCCUGGCAAUGACCAGUCAUCUGAUCAUUCCAUAAUAUAACACUAGAAAAAUUGCUUUUAUUAAUAAUAAGUGCUUGAAAUAAAGGCAGGUUGUUGAUUGAUGUAUCCAGGCAGUCAGCUUGCUCCAUCAUCCAUAGAUGAGCUUUCGGUCUGAUUUGCUAAAUAAUACAUAUGAAGAUUAUGAAGCAUCCAUCCAUCCAUCCAUUCAUUUUCAAUACCGCUUAUUCUACACAGGGUCACAGGGAGCCUGGAGCCUAUCCCAGGGGAUCCGGGGCACGAGGCGGGGGACAACCUGAAUGGGGUGCCAAAGCAUCACAGGGCACGGUCUCACGCUAUGGAUAAUUCGGAAAUGCAAAUCAGCCUGCAACACUCGGGGAGGAAACCGGAGUACCCAGAGGAAACCUGCAAACUCCAGGGGAACAUGCAAACUCCACACACACGAGGGCAGAGGUGGGAUUUAAAGCAUGAAGUCUUUAUUUUAUUUAUUGCAUUAUUAUUAUUAUUGUUAUUAUUAUUAUUAUUAUUGCACUUGUUCUAAUACAUAAUUGUUUCUAUAGCAACAGCUCAUACACAAGGACUUGUAAGGACUUGUACAGCGGACGCUCCACGUGAUGUAAAAUAAUCAUGCAUAGAUUUAAAAACAUGGUCUCAUUUAACCGAGAAAAACGUAUGAUUGUUGAUGUGAAGGUUUUUUCGUUGCUGUUGUUUUAAGAGACGUUUAUGUCACAACAUGUGUCAGUGCUUUGUGCCAGUCAUGGUGCUUCUGGGUUCUGUGUUAAGUUAAACGUUGUAAUGGUUACUACGGAUCAGGCCGUAUCACACCACCCCAGUGUGGAUUACUGUAGUAUAAACCACACCGUCUGUCAUGUUAUUCUGUCCUUCCUUAUUUUAUUUCAGAUUGUUUUUUGUUUUGUUUUCAAUAUAUAUUUUGAAUUUUAGAGAUGGUAUUUUUGUUUGCCUAGAUUAAAACCAGCUGUGUAAACUAGCUAGUUGCGAGUUGAAUUGGAAUAAUUGUGAAUAUUUUGGUUUUGGGUCAUACAGACACUUUUAUAAUAGGCGUUCAUCCUGUAAUAGUGAGUGUUAUAGCGGUAGUGUGUUCGAGUGGGUAAACACGUCUAUUGUUUUGAGAAGUUUAUAUAACUCCAGCCCGGACAAGCCUGUGCUAAAAGGGAAUUUAGCGAUUAGUCUCUGACUUGCAACGUUCCAGUUUUCCCUCAUAGGAGUUCAUGACCUUAGUGACGUUUUAAAACCAUGUUUAUCAGAUUGUGCAAGAACAAUGAGUGUAUUGUGUGUAUUAACUUGGCACUCGGAACUGUCAGAUUAAUCCCCGUAGUGGAAAAGGCCACAGUGCAACCCAGUUAAAAAAUAUCUUGCAGUGGCGUUUUUCUACCAGAAGAGGCAGGAUUCUAAAACUUUACAUAAAUCAGCUGUAAAAAAUAAAGUGCCCAAAGUGCGUACUAACAAUAAACUUUGUCUUGUAGCGGUGAUCGUGUCAGUGUUGUUGACUCUUUAAACCUCAAAAGGCCCUAAAAAGAGAGACUAGAUUUGAAUUAACAUCAUUUGACCUCUUGCUUAUGUUGCUAUGAAUGCAGAGUGAUUGACAGCCAAAACUGUACCGUCGCUAUGCGUGCCACACGGGUAAAUCUCAACCUGCGUUGCCUGGCGAGUGAACGACAAUAAGCUGGCUGUCAUCCGAGUCAAACAAAACCGCGUAACCCGAGACCAAGGAGGAACGCUGUUCUGUAGUCAUAGGAAUCAUCUCCCCUCCUUCCACAACAGUGCCGAAGCAACACUACUUUACUCAUGACUUCAAACGCUUAGGCUCCAGAAACCUCCUGCCGUCAAACAUCAUCAGACUGCCAGAGUUUGAAGACGUCUUGCAUGACAUAUAAGUUUUUGUUGACUCGUUCAUCUUCUAACCCUGUUCAGGACAGCAAGAGCUUCUCUCAGAGUGCACCAUGGGGUGUAGCGCGAGUAAAUCCCUUAAAGUCGUAAAGGUCGCAGAAACCAUCGGGGAUGCCGACGAGAACGUCGACUCGAAGGGGUCGGACGAUGGAGAUGCGAACUCGAAAGCAGGGGACGAUGCCGACGACGCCGGGAACGACGAGAGCUGAUGACGUUUCUCCUGCACGCGUUACUUUUAAGACUCCAUAAAGUUCUCCACACCUGGAGGAUGAUCCUGGAUCCACUCAGAUCCAGAAGAUCCUGGAUCCCCAAGACCUAUAGAUGCAGUCCAGUACAAAAUUUUGCACCACCCCCCUUUUCCCAUUUUACAACAAUUACAGUGUACCUAGGUUUUAGAAAGAAAGAGAAUUUGAAGAAGUUAAAUAUGAAAUGUGGGUGUAUCCUGCAACAAGACAACAGGAUAAAUCAACAGAAAUCUAUUUUUGAAAAGAAGUGAAGAAGGCAGAGGUUGACGUCGGUGUGUGGUGAAUGUUACUAUUAGAAUUUAAAACCUCAAAAAAGGAUGCGAAAGAUGUAGAAGGGAAAUGCUGGGCAUACAUGCCUAGGAGACAUAUUUAAGAGGGGAGAUGAAAACUUUUGAACUGAUAUAAUUUGCACUCUUUUCACUUUUAAUAUCCCAACACAGUGUGACCAUUUUUCUGAUUUGAGUCUCAAUAACAAAGAAGCAUUUUUUUUUUAAAAACAUAACUCCAAAUAUCUUGUGUUAAAUGUGUUAAAUUGUCUAGACGUGCUACACCUAGUGUCUAAAUGCUCAAUUAGCCAAAAUAAAUAAUCGACAUUGAAAAAACCAAAUGUGUUCUAUUAUCUUAUAACGAGAAUCCAGCUGUUAUCAGUUAUGUAAUAAUAAAAGCAAUAUUGUUAGCAUUCCUUCCCCCUUCUCAAAUCACUACAUGAAAACAUGGACAUUUAGUAUAUGAUGAAUUAUUGAUAAAUGAGUUUUGGUGAAAUUAGUUUUUGAUUAAAAGUGCACGACAAGCCUGCAUUACUUCCACUGUCCACCAGGUGUCUCCAGAACUCUUGUUUUACUGACAAAACCACCAGCAGAGGGCAACAUCGCUCCACCACAAUCCUGCAAACUUUCCUCCCUCUACAGAACAGUAAAUCUGCUUGAAUUUCAUGGUUUAGAUUUAUUAGCAGAGACACGAUCGAGCUCGAAUGAAACAACC